rfam:Pteropus alecto contig107914, whole genome shotgun sequence.
GUCUACGGCCACGCCACCCUGAACGAGCCCGAUCCCAUCUGAUCUCAGAAGCUAAGCAGGGUCGUACCUGGUUAGUACUUGGACGGGAGACCACCUAGGAAGACCAGGUGCUGUAGGCA